UUGCGCCCCCUGGUAUUCCGGGGGGCAUGCCUGUCCGAGCGUCAUUGCUGCCCUCAAGCACGGCUUGGGUGGUGGGCCCCCGUCCCCGGGUCUCCCCGGGGACGGGCCCGAAAGGCAGCGGCGGCACCGCGUCCGAUCCUCAAGCGUAUGGGGCUUUGUCACCCGCUCUGUAGGCCCGGCCGGCGCCAGCCGACACCCCAACUUUAUUUUUCUAAGGUUGACCUCGGAUCAGGUAGGGAUACCCGCUGAACUUAA
rnacentral:misc_RNA from 1 species